rnacentral:rRNA from 1 species
UGGGGAAUUUUGGACAAGGGGGGAAACCCUGAUCCAGCCAUCCCGCGUGUGCGAUGAAGGCCGUCGGGUUGUAAAGCACUUUUGGCAGGAAAGAAACGGCAUGGGUUAAUACCCCGUGAAACUGACGGUACCUGCAGAAUAAGCACCGGCUAACGACGUGCCAGCAGCCGCGGUAAUACGUAGGGUGCAAGCGUUAAUCGGAAUUACUGGGCGUAAAGCGUGCGCAGGCGGUUCGGAAAGAAAGAUGUGAAAUCCCAGAGCUCAACUUUGGAACUGCAUUUUUAACUACCGGGCUAGAGUGUGUCAGAGGGAGGUGGAAUUCCGCGUGUAGCAGUGAAAUGCGUAGAUAUGCGGAGGAACACCGAUGGCGAAGGCAGCCUCCUGGGAUAACACUGACGCUCAUGCACGAAAGCGUGGGGAGCAAACAGG